rnacentral:rRNA from 1 species
GUCCGUAGUGACCUGCGGAGGACUUA